rnacentral:rRNA from 1 species
UGCCAGCCGCCGCGGUAAUACGGAGGGAGCGAGCGUUAAUCGGAAUUACUGGGCGUAAAGCGCGCGUAGGCGGCUUUGUAAGUCGGAUGUGAAAGCCCUGGGCUCAACCUGGGAAUGGCAUUCGAUACUGCAGAGCUAGAGUAUGUUAGAGGGAAGUGGAAUUCCGGGUGUAGCGGUGAAAUGCGUAGAUAUCCGGAGGAACACCAAUGGCGAAGGCAACUUCCUGGGACAAUACUGACGCUGAGGUGCGAAAGCGUGGGGAGCAAACAGGAUUAGAUA